GCCUUCGUAGUGUAGUGGUCAACACACUCGAUGCGUAACCGAGAGGUCCGUGGUUCGAUUCCCGGCGAAGGCG
rnacentral:tRNA from 1 species